rnacentral:tRNA from 1 species
GGUAGCUCAGUUGGUAGAGCAACGGACUUUUAAUCCGUAGGUCCUGGGUUCGAUUCCCAGCCGGGUCACUCCA